rnacentral:rRNA from 1 species
GACGAACGCUGGCGGCGUGCUUAACACAUGCAAGUCGAACGGAAAGGCCCUGCUUUUGUUGUUUUCUCGAGUGUCGAACGCGUGAGUAACACGUGAGUAUCCUGCCCUUGACUUUGGGAUAACUUCAUGAAACUGGGGCUAAUAUCCGAUAUGAGCUCCUUCUUCAUGUGGGGGGUUGGAAAGUUGCGGCGGUUGGGGAUGGACUCGCGGCUUAUCAGCUUGUUGGUGGGGUAGUGGCUUACCAAGGCUUUGACGGGUAGCCGGACUGGGAGGGUGACCGGGCACAUAGGGCCUGAGGUGGGGGCAAGAGGGAUACGGGGGGCAGGGGUGGAAGAUAUUGCGAAAAAGGCGGAGGCAUGAAGGAGCGACGCCGGGUGCGGGAUGACUGCUUUAGGGGUGGAAACAGCUUUAGAGUGUGAAGAACAGUGAGUGACGGUAAUGUAUAAAGAAGCAACGGCUAACUACGUG